GUGCUCGCUUCGGCAGCACAUAUACUAAAAUUGGAACAAUACAGAGAAGAUUAGUAUGGCCCCUGCGCAAGGAAUGCAGCCCUGCCAACACCUUGAUUUU
rnacentral:snRNA from 1 species